UGGGGGAUUGGGAAAUGGGCGCAGCCUGAUCAUCCUGCCGCGUGUGUGAAGAAGGCCUUCGGGUUGUAAAGCACUUUUGUCCGGAAAGAAAUCCAUGGCGCUAAUACCGUCGGGGGAUGACGGUACCCGGAGAACAACCACCGGCUAACUACGUGCCAGCAGCCGCGGUAAU
rnacentral:rRNA from 1 species